CCCUUAGAUGUUCUGGGCGGCCCGCGCACUACGCUGGCACUCUCAAUCAGAGCCUGGAUCUAACACUUUGGGGUAUUCUAUGAAGUGGUGUCGUGACUGGGAUUAACCCUUGCAAUUAUUGGUUACGAACGAGGAAUUCCUUGUAAUCGCGGUUUAUCAGCCCGCGUUGAAUGCGUCCCUGCCCUUUGUACACACCGCCCGUCGCUCCUACCGAUGGAUCGUCCGGUGAAGCUCAUGGAGGGGCGGUUGUCUCAGCUGCCGUCGAAGUGAAAUGGACCUCACGAUCUAGAGGAAGGAGAAGUCGUAACA
rnacentral:rRNA from 1 species